UACGAAGGGUGCAAACGUUGCUCGGAAUCAUUGGGCGUAAAGCGCACGUAGGCGGCCUGUUAAGUCGGAUGUGAAAUCCCUCGGCUCAACCGAGGACGUGCAUUCGAAACUGGCAGGCUCGAGUAUGGAAGAGGGUCGCGGAAUUCCUGGUGUAGCGGUGAAAUGCGCAGAUAUCAGGAAGAACACCCGUGGCUAAGGCGGUUCUCUAGUACGGUACUGACGCUGAGACGCGAAAGCGUGGGGAGCGAACAGG
rnacentral:rRNA from 1 species